UGUGAAACCAUUUGCAGUGGCAUGGUCAGCUACAAGUGAGUCAGAAGGGACAGAGAAGCAACCAGUCUUCCAGCCCUGAGCCUGAAGGGGUUGCAGGAGGCCUUGUUACCAGGACCUGAAGAUAGCUGGGGUUGUGGGGAGGUGCUGUUUGAUAAGCCCUGUGGCAUCCGGUAAAGACAAGUAACCACUGCCAAACUAAGGCUUUUCAGAGCACAGAAGUUAUAGAAGAAGUCUGCUUUUCCAGUCUCCUGACUGCUGCCAUUGGCUGGAUCCAACUGGAAGUCCCAGAGAAAGGGAGAGGGGCUUGAGUCUCUAUGGAUACAAGAAGGAUGGAGUGGGGAGAGUAAAUCUGACAGGCAAAUGGAGAAUAUGCAGUAAAAUCCAUUAACACUACAAAUUACACUUAUAAAUUUCUUAAUAUUAAGGCUUAAAAAUUUUGUGUUCAUGAGAUAAAUCUAAUUUGUGCAUUCUUUGAUUCAUUUGUUUGUUUAUUGGUACUAGUGAUUGAACCCAGGAGCAUUUAACCACUGGGCUACAUCCCCUGGGACUCUCUUAAGUUGCUCAGGGUCUUGCUGAGUUGCUAAGGCUGGCUUCCAUCCUUCUGCCUAAGCCUUCCAAGUUGCUGG
rnacentral:lncRNA from 1 species